rnacentral:rRNA from 1 species
GACGAACGCUGGCGGCGUGCCUAAUACAUGCGAGUUGAGCGAUGAAGAUUGGUGCUUGCACCAAUUUGAAGAGCAGCGAACGGGUGAGUAACGCGUGGGGAAUCUGCCUUUGAGCGGGGGACAACAUUUGGAAACGAAUGCUAAUACCGCAUAACAACUUUAAACAUAAGUUUUAAGUUUGAAAGAUGCAAUUGCAUCACUCAAAGAUGAUCCCGCGUUGUAUUAGCUAGUUGGUGAGGUAAAGGCUCACCAAGGCGAUGAUACAUAGCCGACCUGAGAGGGUGAUCGGCCACAUUGGGACUGAGACACGGCCCAAACUCCUACGGGAGGCAGCAGUAGGGAAUCUUCGGCAAUGGACGAAAGUCUGACCGAGCAACGCCGCGUGAGUGAAGAAGGGUUUCGGAUCGUAAAACUCUGUUGGUAGAGAAGAACGUUGGUGAGAGUGGAAAGCUCAUCAAGUGACGGUAACUACCCAGAAAGGGACGGCUAACUACGUG